AGUGAACGCUGGCGGUAGGCCUAACACAUGCAAGUCGAACGGCAGCACAGUAAGAGCUUGCUCUUACGGGUGGCGAGUGGCGGACGGGUGAGGAAUACAUCGGAAUCUACUUUUUCGUGGGGGAUAACGUAGGGAAACUUACGCUAAUACCGCAUACGACCUACGGGUGAAAGCAGGGGAUCUUCGGACCUUGCGCGAUUGAAUGAGCCGAUGUCGGAUUAGCUAGUUGGCGGGGUAAAGGCCCACCAAGGCGACGAUCCGUAGCUGGUCUGAUAGGAUGAUCAGCCACACUGGGACUGAGCCACGGUCCAGACUCCGACGGGAGGCAGCAGUGGGGUAUAUUGGAAAAUGGGCGCAAGCCUGAGCCAGCCAUACCGCGUGGGUAAAGAAGGCAUUCGGGUUGUAAAGCCCUUUUGUUGGGAAAGAAAAGCAGCAGGUUAAUACCCCGCUGUUCUGACGGUACCCAAAUAAUAAGCACCGGCUAACUUCGUG
rnacentral:rRNA from 1 species